GGUCCUGCUUGGUAUAUCCGCGAUGGGGGACCAUAUGUAUUCAGGGGUGAUCAUGCUUGAUGUAUUCGCGAUGGGUGAUCAUUGCCUGCACGACGAGAUUAUGAUUAUGGUUCUGCUAGGUAUAUCCACGAUGGGGGACCAUACGCAUUCUAGAUGAAUGAUAAUUAGUUGUACUUGGUAAAUUGGAUAGGCGAUCAUAUUCAGUUUGGUUCCAUUGAGUGAUUCGGAACCCGAGAUUGUUGGAUUUCGUAAAGUGGUCUGAAAUCCCAUUAUUUGGAGAAGUAGGCUUGGCCUAACUGGGUCACUCUAGCCUUAGUUUUAUAUAUAUUUGUGUCAAUGGUUUCGAGAAUCUUGUGAAUUGAGUUAGAAAAGAUGUUGGGCGUCUGGGUAACUCAUUCAGAGUUUGCAGCGACUUGAUUAUGAUUUCAUAAAGCAUGAUUCUAUACUCGAUGUUUAUAGAUUGUGAUCGAUGAUCUGUUUUUACUAAAUAUCACAUACUUGUAUUAUUGUCACUCACCCGAGCCUCGCAGUUUAUCUAAGUGUCUGAUUGGCCCGAUGUACCAUUUCCAUGAUGUAAGCAUUGAUUUUACAUGUGACAGAUCUGGGUAGAUUACUAGAACCGCUUGAUAUUUGGGAUUUCGUUGAGUGGUCUGGAAUCCUUGCUCUUGCUCAUUUCCAUAAAGUUAGUCUAAAACCCUGGAUUUGAGUGAAUGAGAAUUACCCACAACAGACCUUGUUAAUAUAAAUUAGAAUUACCAGGUUAGUACUUGGAAUCCAAGCAGGGAAUUAUGUAGAAUUCCUUUAUUAAAUUUCUUGCACUGAUAUGUGAUCUGGUUGACUGAUUAACAUAAUUAAAUGUUAAUAUUGUGUCUCCUUGAUUCAUGGAUUGGGUUACUUGAGGUGAUUGUGGAAUGAUGUUGAAUAUGAUUGUUAUUAAUAUGAUUAGAUCAGUGAUCAAUGCGAUUAGAGGAUACUAUUGUGCUUUGUCGAUUCUUUGAUAUAUUACAUGCUAUGAAUUGUGAUUUUAUGUUGUUGAUGCACAAAACCGGAUGUCUUGGUACAACGUAAAUCCGACCGUGAAUCUACAUAAAAUGUAAAUGACACAAGAUGUAUCGUGGUUCACCCCAAGGUUUGGGCUACGUCCACACUGAUUGUAUUAUAUUUCUCUGAGAAGUGAGGGAGAGAGAGAGCUCUAAGAGAGGGUGAGAGAGGCUUCAGAAAUGGCAUCUGAGGGUGAGAAUGAGCCUCCCCUAAUUGUGAGGAUGAAGAGUCCUUUUAUAGAAUAAAGACUCCUCACUUAUUACAUAUUUGCCCUUUCCCUUAUUGCAUAAUUACAUUUGAGUCCCCCGAGUAUUUAUACGAGGUCUAAAUACGGAGGCCCUAAAUAUGGUAUAAACAGUAGUCCCCCAAGUCUUCAGUCAAGAGAGUCUUUUGGCUGGAGACUUCAAAUCCAAUCCAUGUACGGGCCGAAGUGGCUAGAUGUCUUGAACCAGUACUCAACCUUAGGCAAUGCUCAACAUAAAGCAAUACUCGGCUAGAGGUAUCACACGUUACGAGACUGCUCGGCUGGAGACUUCAAAUCCAAUCCAUGUACGAGCCGAAGUGGCUAGAUGUCUUGAACCAGUACUCAACCUAAGGCAAUGCUCAACAUAAAGCAAUACUCGGCUAGAGGUAUCACACGUUACGAGACUGCUCGGCUGGAGGCUAUGCUCGUUGCGAGGCUGCUCGGCUAGAGGCUAUGCUCGCGACGAGGCGUUUGCUCGGCUGGAGGCGAUGCUCGUUGCGGGGCGGCUCGGCUAGAGGCUAUGCUCGCUGCGAGGCGGCUCGGCUCGUGGUAUUCCUCAUUGCAAGUAUCUAUUUUAUGUCAACAUGCACUCAGUAUGAGUUGAUUCUCGACAUGACUCGGGUCC
rnacentral:lncRNA from 1 species